rnacentral:rRNA from 1 species
GACGAACGCUGGCGGCGGGCUUAAUACAUGCAAGUCGAACGAGAAGCUUUAGUUUACUAGAGUGGAAAGUGGCGCACGGGUGCGUAACACGUAGGCAACCUACCCCUGAGAGUGGGAUAACCAUUGGAAACGAUGGCUAAUACCGCAUAUUAUCCAAGAGACGCAUGUCUUUUGGCUGAAAUGUUCAGGCGCUCAGGGAUGGGCCUGCGGCAGAUUAGCUUGUUGGUAGGGUAAAGGCCUACCAAGGCUACGAUCUGUAGCUGGUCUGAGAGGAUGAUCAGCCACACUGGCACUGAGACACGGGCCAGACUUCUACGGAAGGCAGCAGUAAGGAAUAUUGCGCAAUGGGCGAAAGCCUGACGCAGCCACGCCGCGUGGAGGAAGACACCCCUAUGGGGCGUAAACUCCUUUUAUAUGAGAAGAAUGCCUUGGUCGCCAAGGAGAGACGGUAUCAUAUGAAUAAGCACCGGCUAACUCCG